UAAAAUCUAAAAGAGCUAUUACUGAGUCUCAGCGAAUCUUGCCAUGAUCAGCUCUUCCCAGAAGAGAAGGAAGACCAAGGAAAUGAUUUGCUCAGGAUGAGGAAUGAAGAUGGCCAUCUUGUGCUCAAACAAACAGAAGUCCUCUGAUGAUCUCAUCAGCCAAAUGAGGGGUUUUGACCAAGUGAUGCUCUUGAAAGGAGUGAAAGAAGAGGAUGUGCUAAAUUCUCUUCAGAGAAAAAGCUUCUCAAAAGGUCUCAAAACAGCUUGAAGAAUGGUCUGGGAUCUUAGGACUGAGAGAUCCUCUGGCUGAGAACAAGCUACACCACAUCAGUGCUGGAUAUCAACCACAAACUGUUUCCAGACACGAGAGAAGAAGAACAGGAUGGGGAGAUGAAACCAGUUUAGAUGUGAUGAUGGGAAUCAUUAUUUUCUGGAACAGUAUCUCAUGUCUUAUAUGUAUCACAUGAUCUGUAUCACAGUUGACUGGAUGGGACUGUGUGACUUUUAAGGACAUUUCAUCACUCAUCUGUGUGAACUGAUUUCUAUAUGAGGUUAAUGUAUUUUUGAUGAUAAUUAUUUUCAUUGAAUCUUAUUCGUCUUGAUGCUACUUUAUCAACUUUAUAGUCUAUGCUUCAAUAAAAUGAAAAUGGUGAAUAUUGUGUUCUGAAGAUUCUUGUUAAAUACAUAAUUUUACUAGGUAGGCUGAUAUGUGUUUAUUUUAGACUUGGAAAAACUACAUAUUAAUUAUUGGGAUUAUUUUUUUAUUUAAGACAUAAACAUUUUUGAUCGGAUUAAUAACAUCUGGGACAUCAGUACACCAGAAAGUAAUUUUUUUAUAUUUUAGUAACAAAUAUGCAAAUUUUUUAGUGAAAUAAAGGGAGUUACGAGAUUAAUUAUUCUGCAUUACAAGAUGGUGCCAUGGGCUUUAUUGUUACAAACACUUGAGGGAUAACUGAGAAUG